AUUGAACGCUGGCGGCAGGCCUAACACAUGCAAGUCGAACGGUAACAGGAUGAAGCUUGCUUCUUUCCUGACGCGAGGCGGGCGGGUGAGAGGUGUCUAGCGAACUGUCCGUUUUCGUGGGAUAACUACUAGAAACAGUACCUACAAUACCAUACAGGCGCUACACCUAAAAGGGGGACAUUCUCGCCUCUUGCGAGCUUAAAUGCCCAGGUGGGGUUAGCUAGUAGGUGGGGUAACGGCCCACCUAGGCGACGAUCCCUAGCUGGUCUGAGAGGAUGACCAGCCACACUGGAACUGAGACACGGUCCAGACUCCUACGGGAGGCAGCAGUGGGGAAUAUUGGACAAUGGGCGCAAGCCUGAUCCAGCCAUGCCGCGUGGAUGAAGAAGGCCUUCGGGUUGUAAAGAACUUUUGUUGGGGAAGAAAGGAGGAAGGUUAAUACCUAGACGUAGUGACGGUACCCAAAGAAUAAGCACCGGCUAACUCCGUG
rnacentral:rRNA from 1 species